UACAGAGGGGGCAAACGUUGUUCGGAAUUACUGGGCGUAAAGGGCGCGUAGGCGGCCUGUUAAGUCGAACGUGAAAUCCCCGGGCUCAACCCGGGAACUGCGUCCGAUACUGGCAGGCUUGAAUCCGGGAGAGGGAUGCGGAAUUCCAGGUGUAGCGGUGAAAUGCGUAGAUAUCUGGAGGAACACCGGUGGCGAAGGCGGCAUCCUGGACCGGUAUUGACACUGAGGCGCGAAAGCCAGGGGAGCAAACGGG
rnacentral:rRNA from 1 species